AGUACCUCCCCCAGCCCCGUCCGAGUCCGCUUUCUCUCUCCAGGUCUUCCCAGACUGGCACACCCUCCACCCAACCUGGCUUCCUGGCACCACCGGGGCAACUAAACCGUCAGCCGCCAUCUCUCUGCACAAGAGUCUUCUGGCCGUUACUAACGCUGAUCUAGCCUUAGACCUGCCUUACAAGAAAUACUAAAGGAAGUUCUUCAGGCUGAAAGCAGGUGACCCCAGAUGGCAAUCUGAAUCCACAUGAAAAAACAAAGAGCACUGAUAAAGCAGGAAAACUCUCACGAGAUGCUGAGCAGAUGCGGGCGCCAUGCUUCUUGAACUUCUCAGUCUGCA